GAUCCAGUCUCCGAAUUGUCACCGUAUGGUGUGCGUUUCUUGGAUUCCCUAGAAUAGGAGCUAGAUCGUUU
rnacentral:sRNA from 12 species